UUGAUAUGUAUGCCAAGUGUGGAAAUUUAGCUUCUGCAAGAAUCAUUUUUAACGGGUUUAGUCAGAAAAGCAUUGUUUCUUGGACUGCGUUAAUUGCUGGUUAUAUUAGGUCCAAUAAUUUGCAAGAGGGUGAAAGGCUUUUUGUUAAAAUGAUUGAAGAAAAUACGGUUCCCAAUGCGAUUACAAUGUUGAGUUUGAUUAUUGCAUGUGCGUUUGUAGGGGCUGUACAAUUGGGCAAGCGACUACAUGCUUACAUUUUUAGAAAUGGGCCCAGAAUGUCAUUGGUUUUAACCACUGCUUUGGUUGACAUGUAUGGA
rnacentral:misc_RNA from 1 species